CCUACGGGUGGCAGCAGUGGGGAAUAUUGCACAAUGGGGGAAACCCUGAUGCAGCAACGCCGCGUGAGUGAUGACGGCCUUCGGGUUGUAAAGCUCUGUCUUCAGGGACGAUAAUGACGGUACCUGAGGAGGAAGCCACGGCUAACUACGUGCCAGCAGCCGCGGUAAUACGUAGGUGGCGGGCGGUGUCCGGAUUUACUGGGCGUAAAGGGAGCGUAGGCUGACUUUUCAGUGAGAUGGGAAAGACUCGGGGUCAACUGGAGUGUUGCAUUUCAUACUGUAAGUCUAGAGUGCAGGAGAGGAGAAUGGAAUUCCUAGUGUAGCGGUGAAAUGCGUAGAGAUUAGGAAGAACACCAGUGGCGAAGGCGAUUCUCUGGACUGUAACUGACGCUGAGGCUCGAAAGCGUGGGGAGCAAACAGGAUUAGAUACCCUUGUAGUC
rnacentral:rRNA from 1 species